rnacentral:misc_RNA from 1 species
AAGUCGUAACAAGGUUUCCGUAGGUGAACCUGCGGAAGGAUCAUCAUUGAACCUCUAAAUAUCAAAAACACGCUCUGUGCACUUGUUUGUUGGGUGGGUGUUGUUAAAAGACGCGCUCGUGCUCUUUUUUCUUUGCCCGCCCACAUUUUUUAAAACAUAAACCCCCUUUUUACCCCUCUUAUCCAUACUUAAAACACAAAAAACAUAACCAAAAGACAACUUUUAACAACGGAUCUCUUGGCUCUC